GCCAGUGCGUGACACUGCACGUGUGUGUGCCAGUGCGUGUGACACUGCACGUGUGUGUGACUGUGCAUGUGACACUGCACAUGGGUGUGCUCCAGUGCGUGACACUGCACGUGUGUGUGCCAGUGCGUGUGACACUGCACCUGUGUGUGCCAGUGCGUGUGACAGUCUGUACGUGUGUGUGCCAGUGCGUGUGACACUGCACAUGGGUGUGACUGUACAUGUGUGUGCUGGGGUGUGACACACUGAGCACAUGGGUUUGCCAGCGUGCCUGGCUCCGUGUGCCCACCCGUGUGCUGAGGUGCACGGUGCUGUGCAUGUGUGUGUGCCCCUGUGUGGCUCUGUGCACGUGUGUUUGCUGGUCUGCACAGCUCUGUGCACGCACCUGUGGCAGUUUGCACAGUUCUGUGAGCACGUGUUUGCCGGUGUGCACACGUGUGUGCCAGUGGGUGUGACCCUGCACAUGUGUGUGCUGGUGUGCACAGCUCUGCUCAUGUGUGUGCUGAUGUACACAGUGCUGUACACUUGUAUGUGCCACUAUGUGUGGCUCUGUGCACGUGGGUGUGCUGGCAUGCACAGCUCUGUGCACACGUGUGUGCUGAGGUGCGUGGUACCAUGUCCAUAGUGGAUGUCCCACUCUGCAUGGUUCUGUGUACACGUGGUUUGCACAGCGCUGUGUGCACACGUGUGCCGAGGUGCACAGUGCUGUGCACUGCACAUCCCAACUGAUGUGUAAGGUGCUGUGCACAGGUGUGUGCUGGUGUGCGCAGCUCUGUGAGCACGCGUGUGUUGAUGUGCACACAAGUGUUGUGGGAAGGCUCUGCAUGUGCAAGCAGGUCUUGUGCACGUGUGCAUUGACACAGACUCCACAUAUGUGAGUCUGUGCACAGCUCUGCGUGUGUGUGCCACGUGUGUGCUGGUGUGCACAGCUCUGGGUCAGGCAGGUACAGGUGUGCACACAGGCUCUGUGCAGGUACCUGUGUGUGUGUGUGUGUGUGUGUGUGUGUGCAGCUGUGUGCCCCGGCUCCAUAUGUGUCCCCGUGUGCACACACAGGCUGGGAGCGCUCAGGGACGUGGCUGUGGAUACAGGACUCGGUGCAUCCAGCUGCUGUCCCGCCUGGGGAAACAGAACUGUCUGUGUGUGUGUGUGUGUCUGUGUGUGUGUGUGUGCAUAUGUGUGUGUGUGUUCACACGUGUGUGUGUCAUUCCUGAGCUCUGCUGGCUGGAGUGGACCCUGGCUGUGUGUACACACUGUUCUCAUGGCCGAACAGGAUGCCCAGGACAGGGCGUGUGCGUGUCCCCUCCCCUGUCCCCAUCCCCACCGUGUCGUGACAAUCCCACAGGGCUGCCAGUGGUGCUGCCAGGGUCACCUUUGUCCCAACUGUGCCCUUCCAGUCCCCACAGCUCCGGCCCUGUCCCCAUCCCUCCCAGCGUGCCGAGGCAGGCACAGACUGGUAUCCGUGGCAGAGAUGGCGAGAGCCCAGCCGAGGGGACAGGGACAGCCCAGACCGCCCACCAUCGCUCCAGGGCGGUGCCAGGCUGAGGCGUGGGGCGGUGCUGGGCUGUGGCACAGCACACUGACCACGGCAAAGGGACAGCCCUGCGUGUGCUCUGGCACCGCCGGGGGCCGUGGGGGCCAUUGCCACGCUCGUGUCUCCGCGCCGGGGCCGAAGGACCCAGCUCCGAUUGCACUUGUCCCAAAAUAAAGCUCUAUUUUUGUCGUACACCA